rnacentral:lncRNA from 13 species
AUGAGAGNNNNNNNNNNNNNNNNNNNNNNNNNNNNNNNNNNNNNNNNNNNNNNNNNNNNNNNNNNNNNNNNNNNNNNNNNNNNNNNNNNNNNNUACAGCCAGCCUGACCCCGUCUACAGCCAACCUGAGCCCCUCUACAGCCAGCCUGACCCCCUCUACAGCCCACCUGUCCCCCUCUACAGCCAGCCUGACCCCCUCUACAGCCAACCAGACCGCCCAGACUACAUCGUCAGGGUUGACAGCCCUCAGCCAAUCACAGGGCAGGGAGACCACUGCGACCACGGAAACCACAACAUCAUUACCAGUUUCAGCUACAAGGGGAAGUGACAUUGCAGGUAUAUAUGACCAAUAGGAAUUUUGAGUCAUUUUUUAAAACUUUUUUGUUUGACAAAUGUUUAUGAAUGAACUGCAGCCCUAUUCACAACAUUCUCCCUCUCUAACCCCCCUCUCUCUCUACCCCCCCCUCUCUCCAUCNNNNNNNNNNCCCUCUGUCAUAGCCAGCUAGCUAACAUAGCAUCCCUCUGUUAUAGCCAGCUAGCUAACAUAGCAUCCCUCUGUUAUAGCCAGCUAGCUAACAUAGCAUCCCUCUGUUAUAGCCAGCUAGCUAACAUAGCAUCCCUCUGUUAUAGCCAGCUCGCUAACAUAGCAUCCCUCUGUUAUAGCCAGCUAGCUAAUAUAGCAUCCCUCUGUUAUAGCCAGCUAGCUAACAUGGCAUCCCUCUGUUUGAGCCGGGUGUUUGAGUAGGCUAAACUAGCUAGCUGCACUUGCUAGAUAAGUAAAACUGGAAGAAAAUAAAUGACUUUCUCUCUUUUGUUUGAGCCGGGUGUUUUCAGUAACUAAACUAGCCAGCUGCGUUCACUUUCACAGCGAAAGUUUAAAAAUAAAUAAAGCCAAAUAUAGCUAUCUCUCUUUCUCUCUCUAUGAGUCAACUACUCACCACAUUUUAUGCACUGCAGUACUAGCUAGCUGUAGCUUCUGCUUUCAGUACUAGAUUCAUUCUCUGAUCCUUUGAUUGGAUGGACAACAUGUCAGUUCAUGCUGCAAGAGCUCUGAUAGGUUGGAGGACGUCCUCCGGAAGUUGUCAUAAUUACUGUGUAAGUCUAUGGAAGGGGGUGAGAACCAUGAGCCUCCUACGUUUUGUAUUGAAGUCAAUGUACCCAGAGGAGGAUGGAAGCUAACUGUCCUUCAGGCUACACCAUGGUGCUACCCUACAGAGUGCUGUUGAGGCUACUGUAGACCUUAAUUGCAACACAGUGUUUUAUAUAAGUAUUUGGUGACGUAAAUAUAUUUAGUAUAGUUUUAUCUAUAAAAAAAAAGGGUAACUUUUUUAAAACAAUGUUUUCACAAUUUUAAUUUGUAUUAAAUUGACUGAGGAGGAUGGUCCUCCCCCUUCCUGCACUGUGUUCUACUCGUCGGUGUGAGUAGAACAAAGCAUUGUUGGGUAGCUGCAGGCCUGAAGCUAGUUAACUGUCUUCCUGUCUCUCUAACCACACACACACACACACACACACACACACACACACACACACACACACACACACACACACACACACACACACACACACACACACACACACACACACACACACACACACACACCAGUCUGUGCUUUUUACAUGAUACCUUUCAGUUGUCUCUCUGGUCUGUGUGUAUAACACUGUAUAUAAAUGAUAUAUUGAUGACAUUGUUUCUGUGUUUGUUUUAGUUUCAGCUACAAGGGGAAGUGACAUUGCAGGUAUAUAUGACCAAUAGGAAUUUUGAGUCAUUUUUUAAAACUUUUUUGUUUGACAAAUGUUUAUGAAUGAACUGCAGCCCUAUUCACAACAUUCUCCCUCUCUAACCCCCCUCUCUCUCUACCCCCCCCUCUCUCCAUNNNNNNNNNNUUAGAUCUGGGGCACCAGGUGGGUGAUUCCCCUCUAUUCAGGGCCUGAUUUAGACCUGGGACACCAGGUGGGUGAUUCUCCUCUAAUCGGGGACUGAUUUAGAUCUUGGACACCGGGUGGGUAAUUCCCCUCUAAUCGGGGACUGAUUUAGACCUGGGAAACCGGUUGGGUGAUUCCCCUCUAAUCGGGGACUGAUUUAGCCCUGAGACACCAGGUGGGUGAUUCCCCUCUAAUCAGAGACUGAUUUAGUGAUUCCCCUCUACUCAGGGCCUGAUUUAGACCUGGGUUAUAUUAGUAAUCAGGUAGAAGUGAAAACUGCAGAGUUCGUAGGGUCAGAGUUGAAUA